UGUUGAGGACCACUCUUUUCAAAGCCGCUUUUUAACCAGUCAGUGUUUAAUCGGCCGUGAGUGUUUCAAGAGAGAUUGUCGGGAGGCUCUAUAUCAACAAAAACAAAAAAAAGGGUGGUUUAUUAAAAAAAAAUCAGCAAAACCGUUGCAUCGCAAUGAAAUUUAUUCAAAAAUUACAAUAAAAUAACCGAAAAUUCCAAGUGUGGGCAUUAAUCGUAUGAAUUUUUAUGCUCGCAUGUGACAUACGCGACAGGCAGAGCUGCACCCACCCAUUUGACAUCGAGUUGAAGAGGGGAUGAUCCUUCGUCGCCGCAUAUAAAGUCAUAAAGUGGUGUUUAAUGGCAUUUACUCUGCCGUAUUAUGGACAAGAAAAAUGUGUGUCGAAAUCGAGACCAAUGAUGAAAUGAAUGAUUUUAAUGGAAAGAACUGUCAAGCACAACCAACUGACGCGGAAAGCGGACUUUUUCCCUUAGAAAUUCUAAUGAAUUAUUGAAUAAUUGUUAAAUUACUGAUUUAUCGUUAAAAAAAGAAAUAAAAACAAAACAAAAGAGAAAUAAAAAAUAUUGAUCCUGUUUUA